GCCCCAUCUAUACCACAUCCUCCGUCACCACAGGACAUGAUGAAGAGACACAGAUGAGCCCAUAACCUCAGUUGACGCCCACGGUCUCUGCUUAUGGAUCUGUUUGCCCUGGUGCAUCCAGCCCUGGUGACUCCAGAUGAGUAGCAUUUUUUUAUAGUUGAAGAAACCUGAGGGAUGAAAGGAGGCACAUGCUGCCGUGCACUGUGGAGGUCAGAAGACGACUGUUACGAGUGAAUUCUAUCCUUCUGCGUUGUGGGUCUCAGUGAUCAAACUUGGACCAUCCGGCUGGGUAGCAAGCACCUUUACCCACUGAGCCCGCUGUCUUCAUCUCUGCAUCCUGACUUCUAUUUUCACUGCCAUAGACAACCAGGCUCCUCGGGUUUACCAAAUAUUCCCUACCUGGCAAUCGAUGGGCUUCUGACCUCACUCUUACUCAUAUCUGUAAAGUUUGAUCCCUGUGUCCAUCUCAUGAUUAUUUACCAUACCCCGGUAUUUGUUAGCCCCUCACUAAUCUCACAAAUACAUUGAACA